CAAAGACAGGGGAUAGAGGAUGAGGGAGAGGAGGAAGAGAAGGGGACAAGAGAGAAGGAAUGGGUAUUUGUCUCAGAGGGACAAGGGACUGCCUCUGGAUAGAGAGGAGACAGAUGUGC